GCUGGGUACGGUGGCGCGUGCCUGUAAUCCCAGCUACUCAGGAGGCUGAGGCAGGAGAAUCGCUUGAACCAGGGAGUCGGAGGUUGCAGUGAGCCGAGAUUGUGCCACUGCCUUCCAGCCUGGCAACAGAGCGAGACUCUGUCUCAA
rnacentral:SRP_RNA from 1 species